rnacentral:rRNA from 1 species
GACGAACGCUGGCGGCGUGCUUAACACAUGCAAGUCGAACGGAAAGGCCCUGCUUUUGUGGGGUGCUCGAGUGGCGAACGGGUGAGUAACACGUGAGUAACCUGCCCUUGACUUUGGGAUAACUUCAGGAAACUGGGGCUAAUACCGGAUAGGAGCUCCUGCUGCAUGGUGGGGGUUGGAAAGUUUCGGCGGUUGGGGAUGGACUCGCGGCUUAUCAGCUUGUUGGUGGGGUAGUGGCUUACCAAGGCUUUGACGGGUAGCCGGCCUGAGAGGGUGACCGGCCACAUUGGGACUGGGAUACGGCCCAGACUCCUACGGGAGGCAGCAGUGGGGAAUAUUGCACAAGGGGCGGAAGCCUGAUGCAGCAACGCCGCGUGCGGGAUGACGGCCUUCGGGUUGUAAACCGCUUUCGCCUGUGACGAAGCGUGAGUGACGGUAAUGGGUAAAGAAGCACCGGCUAACUACGUG